AUGCUGCUAAAUCCCCAAAUUUGUCAGCAUGUAAGCCAGAGAACAGCCAAAGAAUGGCACUUCACAGAAGAAGAAAGAUGGGGAAGAGGAAUGGAAGCACCAGGAGGAGAAGGAAAAAGAACAAGAAGCAGAAGAGAGACCCAAAGUCUGCAAAAAUAAAAAAAAGAAGAUUUCUGGGAUCGCAAUAAAAAUCCCCAACAUCAUGGCUUUUGGAUUCUUAAAGCAUCUUUUCAAGCCAUGAAUGCUGAAAUUAUAUGAAGGGUCAACAAUAAUUGUUAAAAUAUGUCACCAAUGAGCAAUGUAAUCUAAAUCUCGUAAACCCACUCACUCAUGGGGCCUUGAUAGGCACCACUUAUGUUCCUUUAUUAAUUCACUAUAUCUUCUCUAUUUGGGUAUAAAAAUGGAUUUAAGCCUAUGGCUUUAAGAAGAAUUGCAUUUCCCUUUCGGUUUCUUCCCUAUCAGAGUUUUUUUAAGGAACAAUUUCACUCCAUCAAGUUGGUUAGCUCCUCUUUAAUAUCACUGUCACAGAUAGUCAGAAUUAUUACAUGUAAUUGCAAGUUUGCUGAUUGCUGACACUUGCGAUGGCUGUUAGCUGCCAUGGCAUAAACAGUUCUGUAUAAUGUGCCUAUUUAUUAAGUGUUGAGGUAGUUUUUAUAGUUUAAAGCCACAAAUGGAAUCUAAAGAAGCAUGAUAUGUAAAAUAAUUAGUUAUUCAGAAAUAAGCUUUUGAAUCUUUUAGAGAUUGUUGUAACAAUAAUAUCACCAGCAUAUUAAAACUGUAUGUGUAGGGCCAAGCCUGUCAGAUAUAAAUAACUUUGACAAACUGACAGUCUUUUCAUCUUGUCAGCUGAAUUAAAAAAAAUGAACAAACUAUGAAAGUUCUAUUUUGGCCUCUUUUUUGAUAUUCUUCAAAA
rnacentral:lncRNA from 11 species